GAGUUUGAUCCUGGCUCAGAUUGAACGCUGGCGGCAUGCCUUACACAUGCAAGUCGAACGGCAGCACGGGAGCAAUCCUGGUGGCGAGUGGCGAACGGGUGAGUAAUAUAUCGGAACGUGCCCAGUCGUGGGGGAUAACGUAGCGAAAGCUACGCUAAUACCGCAUACGAUCUAUGGAUGAAAGCGGGGGAUCGCAAGACCUCGCGCGAUUGGAGCGGCCGAUAUCAGAUUAGGUUGUUGGUGGGGUAAAAGCCCACCAAGCCGACGAUCUGUAGCUGGUCUGAGAGGACGACCAGCCACACUGGGACUGAGACACGGCCCAGACUCCUACGGGAGGCAGCAGUGGGGAAUUUUGGACAAUGGGCGCAAGCCUGAUCCAGCAAUGCCGCGUGCAGGAUGAAGGCCUUCGGGUUGUAAACUGCUUUUGUACGGAACGAAACGGCCCUGUCUAAUACAUGGGGUUAAUGACGGUACCGUAAGAAUAAGCACCGGCUAACUACGUGCCAGCAGCCGCGGUAAUACGUAGGGUGCGAGCGUUAAUCGGAAUUACUGGGCGUAAAGCGUGCGCAGGCGGUUUUGUAAGACAGAUGUGAAAUCCCCGGGCUCAACCUGGGACCUGCAUUUGUGACUGCAAAGCUAGAGUACGGCAGAGGGGGAUGGAAUUCCGCGUGUAGCAGUGAAAUGCGUAGAUAUGCGGAGGAACACCGAUGGCGAANGCAAUCCCCUGGGCCUGUACUGACGCUCAUGCA
rnacentral:rRNA from 1 species